GGGACUCAGUCUUCAAAACGCAUUGUGUAUUUUCUACUUACAAGCCAUCUCAAUUCCAAAUGGCUGCCUUUCAGGUGCUCAAUAGCUGCAUGUGGCUAGAAGCUACUGUACUGGAAAGCUCAGAGCUGAACCACAUGAAAAAUUUUUAAAGGUGAUGGCUGGUAAGUCUUGAACUCCUCACCCACAUUGAGGGUACAAAGAGGAGGAGUUUUGGAGAGAGUUUGUGGAAAGAAUUUCUUCAGAGAAAGCCUUGUUGUGAGUUCUACCCUCCUUCCCCAGAGGGGUGGGAUCGGCAUCUUAAACCUAAACCAGAUGCGAAGGACCACAAAGAGAGGGAGAUGCGGGGGAAAGGAGCUUUGGGAAGAGACGAGGCUGUGCUGCGAGCCCCGAGGGGAGGGGAGGACUGUGGGAUCCCUACCUCUUGCCUCAAUCUUGAAAAAGAGCUUAUAGGGUCCCUUGGAGACCCAUCCCCUCUAGUUUGAGAGAUACAGUCACCUGGUGUUUGAUUUACACCUGAGAAAUCUAAACGUCGAGAGACUGACUGCAGCUGCCUGUGGGAGCCCAGUAGAAGCUGUUGCAUUUGGAAGCUCUGCACUCCCAUCUAUUGGGAUAAAAAUUACAAGGAGGUUUCCUGAGAAUGGACAAGGGAGAAAGCCAGUGAGAGGUCCUGUCCAGGAGGGUCACUGGCCACCGGACCUCAGCAGAGGGAAGAUACAGGUGUCACUCAAAGCCUUGAGCUAAAGAAGGGCAAGUGAUGGCCCUAAGCAGAGAUACAUUGGCCCUCAUCAAGGGGAUAGCAGCUGAGAGAGAACAGGGUCCCCAAAGCACCCAAGAGAGCAAGGUCAGAGCACAGCACUGCUAGAUCUCCAUGUACUGGUCAAAAAAGAAAUUUCUGGUUCCUUUUGACCCAAUUUGCAUUUCGUCUCUGGAGGAGUCAGAAAGGUGGAUAGAAAAUGGGAAAGGAAGAGAUGCAUAGAUGAGGAAAAAGAAGAGUCUACCAUGUCCCUCUGCUCUGAUGACAGGCUUCUGACUGCAAUAGGCUGGAGAGGGCAGCGUGGAAAAGCUUCAUUUUAAAUCCAGUGUAGAGGUUUAAUUAUACAGGGCAGGACAUUUAAAUUACUGAUGUAAAUUAUUGUGUGACUAAAUGUAUUAGGUGAAUGCUGUAAGACUGUACUUCUCACCUGCUUGAUGUCUUGAUCUCAAGUUUCUAGGUUUCCAUUUGCUCCCUCUGUGAUCCCUCCUGCUCCCUGACUCUGGGUGUAGCCUGCUGAAUUGCAACUCUGAUCAAGCCACACUCCUUCUCACAAGCCUGUCGUGUGCAAACCUCCAAAGGCUCUCCAUUGCAUAGAUGAAGAUGCUUCUUACACUCAGUCCAAAGGCAACAUUGUGGUGGAUGUGGUAGGUGGUUGAUGGGGGCAGUGGUGGGAUAAGGAAGAGCAGAGAACACAGUGUCUCAGGUGCACCUGGAGUCCAGACCAGAAAGUCCAGGUAGAGUUUAAAUUUAGCUAGCUUGCAAUGGGGAUCGAUUGCAAUCAAGCAUAUCAGUAAGUGAAAUUGAUCAACUGGAAAUGUUGACAUAUCAUUACAUUGUCAUUGAGUAAAAAUAAACCACUUAACCAUCAAUCAUCAAAUGGCUCCCACCCUCAUGGGAUUUGCAGUUUAUUAGUUGAGAUAUUUGCAGGAAAUUACAAUGAGGUGUGAGGGUUGAUAAGGCCGAGGAAGAGCUGGGUGCUUUGGAUGCCCAUGGCAAGGACACAAUUGUAAGGUCUAAAAUCUUAUACUUUGAGGCUUCCGUCAUUCUGGAUCACAUCUACAACCAUAUAUAGACCUGGAAAGGAAACAAGUGUCAGAGGGCCCUAACCCCCAAGACAAAUGGAAAAAGAAAUAGCCUUAUUGGGUAGGAACACAAUUAGGAAGGCAAAGGUAAGAAAAGGGCUGAACUGUCCAAGGAUAAAUGGAAAAACAGGAUGAUACAAUUAUGGAAGAAGAAAAGGGACCAAAGAAUUAUAAUUUGCUUCUUAAAUCAUUUAUUGAUCUCCUACAAUGGGUAUAAGACACUCAUAGCUUCCAGAUAAUGGUUAAAAAUGGAGGUCAGUUUGAGGCAACCUUUCUGUGAUGGCUGUGAGAAUGCACCUCUCAGAUUUCUGGAGGCUGGGGAUGUAACUGAUCAGCAGCCCCUUUGCUGAGCCUGGAAAUCCUUCCUGUGCUCUCUGGAGCCAUGCUUCCUAUAGACCGUCCCCAGCAGAUGACAGAACAUUGAGGGGAUAUGAAGGCAGUCUUGUUCCUAGGAGACAGGGGGCCCUUCUUUUUUUUUUUUUCUUUUUUUCUUUUUACCAUUUCUAGGGCUGCUUCUGCAGCAUAUGGAGGUUCCCAGGCUAGGGGUCUAAUUGCAGCUGUAGACGCCGGCCUACACCACAGCCACAGCAGCGUGGGAUCUGAGCCGCGUCUGUGACCUACACCACAGCUCAUGGCAACGCCGAUCCUUAACCCACUGAGCAAGGCCAGGGAUCGAACCCACAACCUCGUGGUUCCUAGUCAGAUUCGUUAACCACUGAGCCACGACGGGAUCUCUGACAGGGGACCCUUCUGAUGGGUGACUUUGGCUUGACAACGCUUGGACAGUGUUUUGCACUCUCCUUGAACUCUCACUGCAGUCCAGAAUGUUUCCACUCAAACUUCCUUCUCUCCUUUACUGAGGGUUAAACGCACGUCCCAGCCUUUCCUAGCACCCUUCCCGCUUUCUUUCACAGAUUCUUCCCUUAGGAAAUUUGUGCGCAUCUAAUCUUGGAAGACCUGGAAUAACACAUCUUCUCAAAAGAGCGUGCCAGAGAAAAUGAAUAGGUGUUUGUUGGAGUCAUCUAUUUACCUAGGAACAGUCGGGAGCUGUCAGGGUGGGUGCAAGAGGGGAGGGGCACAAGCCAGGCCAGGUGGCAUCACACACACCUGGGGCAAAACUUGGCUCUUCCACUUCAGGGUGUGAUGGGGGCAGUUACCUAUUCUUUGCUACCUUUCAUUUCCUCAUCUGUAUAAUGCAAUACUCGUUUUUCCCUCACAGGCUUUUCGUGGGGAUUAAUUGAGAUAAUGUAUGUAAAGGCCUUAACACAGUCUCUGGAAAAUAUUUGGGCCGGCUUCUGAGGGCUUCAUCCCCUUUCUCCUUCACACACGCAGCCUCUGUAGGAGAAGGAAGGAAACUCAAGGGCAUUUGGCCCUCUUUCAUAUAAGGAGCCUUGAGGUGCUAUCCUUGUAAUACAGCUUCAGUAAGGCCCUACCUCUCCAGGAAGCCACCUGUGGCUUCCAUAGCCCUGGGAUUGAUGUCUUUUGCUUCUUUCUCUGAUGUCCUCUUAGCAUUCCACUUUUGAUUCUAAUUGUGUGGGACCCGGUGUUGUUUGCAGGGGAUCACUCCAGCCCCUCUUUUCUGGGAACAUCCUCCACAACCAUAACCUGUAAUUCUGAUACACUAUAAUUCUGUCCCUGGAUACAGUCAACUGUCUCAGGGAUGGUACCUUUCUUUUUUUUUAAAUUUUGUUUAUUGAAGUAUAGUUGAUUUACCAUGUUCCUCCAAUUUCUGCUGUAUAGCAAAGUAACCCAGCCACCCAUAUAUCACCCUUAUCCUCCCCAUUUUCCAAGAGACUUGACACAGUUCCUGUGCUAUAUAGCAGGACCCCAUCACCCAUCCACUUUAAAUGUAACAGUCUGCAUCUACUAAUCCCAAACUCCCCAUCAGUGCCCCUUUCUCCUCUCUCUCUCAUGGCAAACAAAAGUCUGCCUUCCAUAUCCAUGAUCUGUUUCUGUUUUGUAGAUAGAUCACUCGUGCCACAUUUUAGACUCCAUUUAUAAGCUAUAUCAUAUGGUGUUUGUCUUUCUCUUUCUGACUUACUUCACUUAGUAUGAGAGUCUCUAGUUCCAUCCAUGUUGCUGCAAAUGGCAUUAUUUUGUCCUUUUUUAUGGCUAAGUAGUAUUCCAUUGUAUAUAUUUACUACAUCUUAAUCCAUUCAUCUGUCCAUGGACAUUUGGGUUGUUUCCAUGCUUUUGGCUAUUGUGACUAGUGCUGCAAUGAACAUAGGGGUGCAUGUAGCUUUGUAAAUGAAAAUUUUGUCUGUAUAUAUGCCCAGGAGUGGGAUUGCUGGAUCAUAUGGUAAUUCUAUAUUUAGUUUACUGAGGUUCUCCAUACUGUUUUCCAUAGUGGUUGUACCAAUUUACAUUCCCACCAACAGUGAAGGAGGCUUCCCUUUUCUCCACACCCUCUCCAGCAUUUGUUGUUUGCUGACUUGUUAAUGAUGGCCACUCCAGCUGCUGUGAGGUGGUAGGCACCUGUCUUGAAAUAAGGCAUUAAUGCCUUCCCUCAGAAUUUUAGCUUCAGAACGAGGAAUGUCAGACUUAUCUCUCUCUCUCUAGGGGCAACUGAGGUUAUCUGAAGCUACUGGCAGCCCAGCCAUAUGUUCUACUGUGUGUGUGUGUGUGUGUGUGUGUGUAUAGCCAGGCUACAAGGAGAUGAAAGAACAUUGCUGUCGUGCGAGAGAGGGAGAUAAAGAGAAGGAUAAAGAUCCAUCUGUACGCAAGUCCCGGGUUCUGUUUAUUCUUCAGAUUCUAUGGGGCAUCUCAACAUUCUCCUAAUCCUUGCUUAAGCUAGUUUGAUUAGGGCAUCUGUCGCUUAUAGCCCAAAGAGUAAUAAAGGUGUGUCAUUGUUCCAUGUGUCUACCCGGCCUUUCCACCUUGACCCUGAGCCUCCCAGGACAGAGACUACACCCCUCCCUCUGCUUCUGCCCCCCUGUGCCCAGAAUACUGCUUGGUCCAUGCAGCUGUUCCAGACAGAUGUGUGGUUGACUACAAGGCUAAAUCAAAUAUUCUGCUCAUGGCAGGUUUCUAUAUAUUCCACGUAUGAUGUCACAGGACCACUUUAAUCUAUGCUCUAAAUGCUGGUUUAAAUGUGCUAAAAAUGUCUUGUGGCGAGGACUUUGGAAGCUGGUGGAAAAGAGCUCCUGGCAGGUAUUUUGCAUGAGGCACGAUGGAGUUUCAGGUUAACAGGUGUUGCUGGGAGAAUCACUGUAUUUAAAAUGAAGCUGUGGAGUUCCCAUCAUGGCUCAGUGGAAAUGAAUCUGACUAGCAUCCAUGAGGAUCCAGGUUUGAUCCCUAGCCUUGCUUGGUGGGUUAAGGAUCCUGCAUUGCUGUGGCUGUGGUGUAGCCCAGUGGCUACAGCUCCGAUUUGACCCCUAGCCUGGGAACCUCCAUAUGCUGUGGGUAUUGCCCUAAAAAGACAAAAAAAAAAAAAAAAAAAA
rnacentral:lncRNA from 1 species